GGGGUUGUGGCUCAGUGGUAGAGCACUCACCUAGCAUGUGCAAGGUCCUGGGUUCAAUCCUCAGCACCACA
rnacentral:tRNA from 1 species